rnacentral:miRNA from 1 species
UACUACUCCCUCCGUCCUAUA